rnacentral:lncRNA from 1 species
UUGUGUUACAGGGUACAAGUAUCUUCACAGCUGAGAACCACCCAAUUCAUCUCCAUGGAUAUGAUUUCUACAUUCUCGCAGAAGGUUUUGGAAACUUCAAUCCUAAAACUGAUACAGCCAAAUUCAACCUCGUUGAUCCACCUCUUCGUAAUACAGCUAGUGUACCUGUCAAAGGAUGGUCAGUCAUUAGAUUUGUUGCUGACAAUCCUGGUAAGACAAACAAGUUUACAAUUAUCUACAUUUAUGUGUCAAUUUUUUCUGAUAUAUUUUAGCCAAACUUAAAAGCCUUCAUUUCUUCAUUUGGCAGGAGUUUGGCUUCUGCACUGUCACUUGGAUGUUCACAUCGGUUGGGGUCUGGCGAUGGCUUUUGUUGUAGAGAAUGGAGUUGGGGAAUUGGAGUCUCUAAAGAAAUCUCCAGCAGAUUUGCCUGUGUGCUGAUAUCAACCACAGAAUCAUUACUCAAGAUUAAUUCAGAACGGCCUAUAACAUGGUCGAUAUUUUUCUGGUCGUAGUAUGUGUUCAAUGUUGUUUCCCCACAUUGGGGCUAGUUCCUUCUUCUUUCAAUUGUUAUUUUUUUAUAGAUAAACUGGUUCAAGAAUAUUAGUUUUGUGCUUGCAACACGGAGCACCAUGUCUGUUAGGAUAGACCCAAUAUGUUUCUUGGUUAUAACUGUUUUGUUUUAAGAGUUAAGUAACAACCUUUUUGUGGUAUUUAAAUGAUUUUAAUAAAUUUUUUCAUUUGAUUUGCAUCGUGUAUAGCAAACCGAAGUAAACUCUAUUCCUACACCAAUUGAGAACAAUAAGAUCCGGUCAAGGAGAUAUGAAAGAAACUAUGUGCUACUCCCAGAGUCCCAUUUUACAAGAAAAAAAUGUUCCACACAAAGAGUCCUCUUUUUCAUUAAUCAUAGUGUAAAAUGAAACAAUAACCAUAAGCUUAGCAUCACAAUUUCACUACCAUCCACAACUACUAAACUAAACACAAUAUAUGUAGGGAUAACUAUGGAAGAUAAAUAUAUUUUUAAAGUUUGCAAAUGGGACUCUUUUUGUAUAACGGAGGGAGUAUCUAGCAAAAGCAUAUUACUCAGCAAAAAAAUAAAGGAAAAUAAAAGGGAGAGAGAAAAGAAAAACAAACAAAAAAAUUAAGCAGAAAAGAAAGACUAAAAACCAGCAUUGGAGAGAAUCUAAAAGCUAGGCAAAAGGGUACACAUGUACGAAGAAUAUUACCCACAGUUUAAGACAACCAUAGCUCCACCACCAGUGAAACAGAUGGAUGUUAGUGCAUAGUACUCACCUAUCUUAUAAAUAUACAUAUACCCAAAGAAGACAUAUAACUCAGCUAACACAAUUGAGAUAGUAAUAAUUAUAAUACUCUGGUUAGUUUAAGAGUAUGAAGUAAAGCAGGGACAUAAUAAGGCUAAUCUAUGACUAUGAGAAUCCAGAAGAUGGGGUUGAGAAUUAGAGGAAAAAGUUACUUUACAAGGGAAUAUGUCAAUGAUAUUAGAUCGUCUAGUGUGAUAUACUGUUUCAAAUCAUUCCAGAAUUAUUAUUCAAAAUAUUUGAGAUCCUGAAAUAUAAAGUGAUUAACUAAUUAUAUUAAGAUUCAUAUUCUUGGUGAAGAACUUGGUAUAAUUAUUAGACUGCAUUUGGCAAGGUUAGAGUUACUUUUGCUGACUAACAAAUAUCAUCAUAUAAGCAGCCCCUUCUAUGGCUCAUUUGGGAUUGAGACUACACCUAAUGUUAAAGUGUGGAUAAUUGGUUUUCUAAAUGAAGUUAAGAACUACCUUAAAACUAAAGAAAUAAUGUUACCUAUCAAAUAAAUAAAAUUAAUAACAAUCUUAUAAAAUUCAAUCCCUUGCCAAGAAACUCCGAUUGUAUUGAAUUGAUAGAUACCACUAAUUGAAUUGAUAGAUAUUCUUAGAACUAGACAAGGACAACACCAUCUCAAUACCACUAAUUAAGAGAUAACAAAACCAUAUAGGGAUAGUUCAUAACAAAGCAAACCUCACAGAAUAACAGUUGCAAUAGGAUAACAAAUAAGCAACUAUCUGAAAAGCUACAAAAUUAUUUACCAAAAAAAGCUACAAAAUAAUGAUGUGGGUGUGCAAUCAUCAGAAGAAUUACUCAAAAAGAGACCUGGGUUUUAUUGAAAAAAUAAUAUAAUUAAUUUAAUUUACAGUAAGAUGAAAAAAAAAUAGAAGUUAGAGCUACCAAUCAGCUUUUGGAGAUUAUGUAGAGUGAAACACACCUUGCUCCCAUGGCGGAGACUGGAGAGACAAUUUAGAUUUUGGUGAGGUUAAAUCCGCACUUCAUAUUUAGGAAAUGUUUUCAACAGUUGGGUUUUGUUAUUUAUUGAACCCAGCUCUCCUUCGGAAUGGGUUGGAUUCCGUUCUCGACCAGUCGAUUGGACAGAGAAUACAAACCGACCGUCGACUAAUGGUCUGGAAUUUUCAGUGUUGCCACAUGAGGGAUGGGAAACGAAAACAAAAGAACAC